AUAAUACUCCAUAGAUUAGAGACACUGGAAUGUUCUUUAGUCGAAAGUUCUGGCGCCUUAGGAUGGAUCUGCGGUCGAUUAGGUUGUUGUUGGGGUAACGGCCCAACAAGCCUGUAAUCGAUACGGGUUGUGGGAGCAAGAGCCCGGAGAUGGGAUCUGAGACACGAUUCCAGGCCCUACGGGGCGCAGCAGGCGCGAAAACUUUACAAUGCAGGAAACUGUGAUAAGGGAACUCCGAGUGCCCGUAUACGCGGGCUGUCCAGGUGUUUAAAAAUCACCUGAAGAAAGGGCCGGGCAAGACCGGUGCCAGCCGCCGCGGUAAUACCGGCGGCUCGAGUGGUGGCCACUAUUAUUGGGCUUAAAGCGUCCGUAGCUGGACCGAUAAGUCUCUUGGGAAAUCCGCCGGCUCAACCGGCGGGCGUCUAAGGGAUACUGUUAGUCUAGGGACCGGGAGAGGUGAGAGGUACUCCGGGGGUAGGAGUGAAAUCCUGUAAUCCCCGGGGGACCACCGAUGGCGAAGGCAUCUCACCAGAACGGCUCCGACAGUGAGGGACGAAAGCUGGGGGAGCGAACCGGAUUAGAUACCCGGGUAGUCCCAGCCGUAAACUAUGCGCGUUAGGUGU
rnacentral:rRNA from 1 species